GACGAACGCUGGCGGCGUGCUUAACACAUGCAAGUCGAACGGUGAAAGCGGAGCUUGCUCCGCUGGAUCAGUGGCGAACGGGUGAGUAACACGUGCGCAACCUGCCCCUCACUUCGGGAUAACUCCGGGAAACCGGGGCUAAUACAGGAUACGACCUUUGCGGGCAUCCGCGAGGGUGGAAAGUUUUUCUGUGGAGGGAUGGGCCCGCGGCCUAUCAGCUUGUUGGUGAGGUAGUGGCUCACCAAGGUGACGACGGGUAGCCGGCCUGAGAGGGCGACCGGCCACACUGGGACUGAGACACGGCCCAGACUCCUACGGGAGGCAGCAGUGGGGAAUAUUGCGCAAUGGGCGAAAGCCUGACGCAGCAACGCCGCGUGCGGGAUGACGGCCUUCGGGUUGUAAACCGCUUUCAGCAGGGAAGAAGCCGCAAGGUGACGGUACCUGCAGAAGAAGCACCGGCUAACUACGUGCCAGCAGCCGCAGUAA
rnacentral:rRNA from 1 species